AUUGAACGCUAGCGGCAUGCCUUACACAUGCAAGUCGAGCGAGUGGCGGACGGGUGAGUAAUAUAUCGGAACGUGCCCAAUAGCGGGGGAUAACUACUCGAAACGGUGGCUAAUACCGCAUACUAUCGGAGCGGCCCAUAUCGGAUUAGCUAGUUGGUGGGGUAAAGGCUCACCAAGGCAACGAUCCGUAGCUGGUUUGAGAGGACGAACAGCCACACUGGGACUGAGAAACGGCCCAGACUCCUACGGGAGGCAGCAGUGGGGAAUUUUGGACAAUGGGGGAAACCCUGAUCCAGCCAUCCCGCGUGUAUGAGAAGGCCUUCGGGUUGUAAAGUACUUUUGGCAGAGAAGCGGUAUCUGCAGAAGAAGCACCGGCUAACUACGUGCCAGCAGCCGCGGUAAUAC
rnacentral:rRNA from 1 species